AAUGGAAUAUCAUUUAUCAAGCAAUUAGCACAGUGCCUGGCACAUAGAAGCCGCUUAGCAAAUGCCAGGAGGUGUGGGAGGUCCGGGCCGCAGGCAGGUGAGCUUUCUCCAAAGCCUUCAAAGUGGGUAAUGGGUGACGCAGAUCAGCACGGAGAUCUAAGGAGGAAUUUGUCCUCCUUCCAAGCCAGGUAGGGGAAACCUAGUGUAUCCUGAAUUGGAAUUGCUGCAGACUUAGUGGGAUCCGAUUAUUAAAUUAAAACAAAGCAUAAGAGAAGUCCAGGGUCCGGUGCUGAGAUCAAGCGAUUUCUUCCCGCUGCUUUGAAAGUCAAAGUGAAGACAUUUGAAUGACUCCUGAAUAAACAGCUGGGUUAACCGAGAUUGUUUUAAGGUAGCCAAAUGCCUCCUCAUCUGAUUAGUGAUGCUUAUGAAUGAAUGAAGACAUACCCACUGUCUCUCUUCUAGGAAGACACAGCCAACGGUUCGAGAUUAGCUGAAUUCGCCGGGACAGAAGAACUCUUUUAGCUUGAUUCUAGUCUGGCACUGUGAAGAGAGAGGAGAGGUACGGCAUAAGAGGGAAGGUUCGUCUGCUGCCUUCCUGCCCUCCCAGGGAGGGCAAUGACUCUGCUCUGACCAGUAUCUCCCUCUCCCUUAACUAAUGGGUAGAGGAACUUAUAGAUUCUUCCGCGUCUAGCACGAAUAACUGGGAAGACAGCUAGCUCCCAGCGGGACCCGUUCCAGAGGCAGUGUCAGGUGGGGAGUUUCACUAGGACUUUACAACCGUCUAAUCUCCAGGUAGAUGUCCUAUGGUAAACUCAGGGAGUACAAAAACUUUCCUCGGAGCAUAAGGACAACAACUCGUUUGAUCUGAUUUUCUGCAUGAGAGCAGAUGGUUAAAGCAGAGCUUCUUCACCUUUCUUCUAACCUUUGGGAUUGACAGCACCAGGGAUAAUUGACUUGCCGCUAGCAAUGCCACUUUUUAAAGAACUCUUACCUUCCUCCUAAGAAUCAACACCAAGCAUUGGUUCUAAAGCAGAACAGAAAGGGAUAGGCAACUGGGAUUAAGUGAUUUGCCCAGGGUUACACAGCUCGGAAAACCGAGUAUCACUGUUUGAUGCUUCCCUGUGUGCUCCGUCUAUUACUGAGAAGCAGAAUUCUCCAAGCGUCGCAUUCUCCUCCACUAACGGGAAACGUAAGCAGGGUUUAUUUCCGCCGUUGUGAGACAAGUUAGUUUUACCCUGCAGAUGGGUAGGUUGUCGCUCUAGUAAUCCUGCUCAGUAGGAGAGGAACGGAAGGUUUGGUCGUGCGUGCAUUGGUCAAAGUAAACUAUCUUCUGUGAGAUUAUGAAAGAAUGCUUCUAAAUAAGAAAUCUCCUUAAGCGUGAGGCUGCAGUAG
rnacentral:ncRNA from 1 species